rnacentral:lncRNA from 1 species
UUUAAACAAAACUGUGAGCCUUCGAUUACUCAAAAUGAAGUUUCAUGUUCAUUGAAAUGAUAUUAGAUAAGACUUCUACUGAAAUUAGAUAAGAUUCAUAACUUGGAGUGGUUUACAGCGGAAAAUAAAAAGGACAUCAUACAAAAAACUCAAUAUCUACUCGAUCAAUUCAAAGAUUUAUAAAAUGCGAAUUAACUUUUUGUGAUACCCUAGUUUGUAUGUAGUCAGCAAAAGAAUGUUGGUAAGCUCAAUUGAUCCAAGGUGUCUGAUUUAAUGAUAAGACCUCUACUGUUACAUUGCAGUGGAAAUAUCACACUAUAACUUGCAUUUGCAUCAGUGAUGCAAGAAUCACAGUUUCAUUUCAUUAUUAUUAGAGCAAUAUACAAAACACAUUUCAGUGCGACUAUAAAUGAAUUAACAGCAGUCUCUAUCAUGCUUCAUAUAGUUCAAGUCAUCAAAGCCAUUAUAAUAGCUAUAGUUUGAUGUAAAAAAGAAAGUAAGCUGACGUAGGGGAGGGACUUGAGAGAAUUUUAAAUAUGGACUUGGAACAAGGUUCAAGGUCUCCAAGGGACUAAAAAUAAAUAUGCGUGUUUCCAUGGGUGUGACAACCAGAACAGCUUCAC